UACGUAGGGGGCAAGCGUUGUCCGGAAUCAUUGGGCGUAAAGAGCGCGUAGGCGGCUUGGUAAGUCCGCUGUGAAAGUCCAGGGCUCAACCCUGGAAUGCCGGUGGAAACUGUCAAGCUUGAGUCCGGAAGAGGCGAGUGGAAUUCCUAGUGUAGCGGUGAAAUGCGCAGAUAUCAGGAGGAACACCAAUGGCGAAGGCAGCUCGCUGGGACGGUACUGACGCUGAGGCACGAAAGCGUGGGGAGCAAACAGG
rnacentral:rRNA from 1 species